rnacentral:rRNA from 1 species
AAAACCAAAGCUGGGGAUCGUAAGACCUGGCGCAAGAAGUUGAGCCCGCGACCUAUCAGCCUGUUGGUGAGGUAACGGCUCACCAAAGCUUACGGGUAGCUGGUCUGAGAGGACGACCAGCCACACUGGGACUGAGACACGGCCCAGACACCUACGGGUGGCAGCAGUCGAGAAUUUUUCUCAAUGGGGGAAACCCUGAAGGACGCUGACGCCGCGUGGGGGAUGAAGGACUUCGGUUCGUAAACCCCUGUCACUUGGGAACAAAAGUUUUAACCUAACACGUUAAAGCCUGAUAGUACCAGGAGAGUAAGGCACGGCUU